GAUGAACGCUGGCGGCGUGCUUAACACAUGCAAGUCGAACGAAGCACCUUGAUUUGAUUCUUCGGAUGAAGAUCUUGGUGACUGAGUGGCGGACGGGUGAGUAACACGUGGAUAACCUACCUAUAAGACUGGGAUAACUUCGGGAAACCGGAGCUAAUACCGGAUAAUAUUUUGAACCGCAUGGUUCAAAAGUGAAAGACGGUCUUGCUGUCACUUAUAGAUGGAUCCGCGCUGCAUUAGCUAGUUGGUAAGGUAACGGCUUACCAAGGCAACGAUGCAUAGCCGACCUGAGAGGGUGAUCGGCCACACUGGAACUGAGACACGGUCCAG
rnacentral:rRNA from 1 species